AAUAGGAGCAAGACAAAUCAGAUUUUUCCUUCUGAUUUUCAACUUUUUCCUCCUGAAAAAAAUUCAAAUCCAACUAAAAAUACUAAAAAUCAAAAAGAAAAAAUAUGAUUUGUCAUGCUCCUAUU
rfam:Gossypium raimondii Chr02_contig_1440, whole genome shotgun sequence.